rnacentral:lncRNA from 1 species
UAUUUUUGCUCAAAUUCCAGUACUGCAAGAUCUGUCAUUUCAUAUGGUAGUGCGGUAUUUUCCAGUGUUAACUGGAUUACACAAUCCAUAAGAAAAUCCCCAAAGUUUAUCAGAGAAUUGACUGUCAUUUUAAUCAUUCUCUUCUCAGUUGACAUUCCAGAAAGUCUUAGGCAGGCAUGUUUUUGGAGAUGCUUCACUAUGCUGCAAUAGAUUCUCUAUUGAAGUUUUUUCAUUGCAUACUAGUCUAAUAAACCAGUAUAAAGGAAGCAUCCCCACAGGAAAAGAAAUGAGUACAAUCCCAGGAAAGCCCAAUGUUCAAAUUGUUAACCAUCAUCAUCCGAAGCCAACAAAGGCCAUGGAAAAAGUUUGCACUGAAUGAUUUAAGAGAAAAAUAGUACCUCCUACAGCUGUUUGCUUCCAAUGUUAUCUAUAUCAACAAAAUUACACCGAAUUUCAGUAAUUCCAUUACCCCAAACAAUUUUUUUGCCUUAUCUAGAUAUUUAGCAAGAGAUGGAAAGGGGAAAGGAAUGAAAGAUAAUAAUUAUCUUGAUAUAUUAAUUCUCCACUUAACUAGGUUAGGGUAGACUUUGACCAAGAGUAAGCUACUUAGAGAAGAUUCUCCUGGGAUAGAAUAUAAAAAUGGCUUUUUCUAGGAGAGUAAACCAAUAGAGUUUAAUCAAGAAAUUAGAUGGGUCUUUGUGACAAGAUAAAACCCCUAUUUAUUACACAAAGUAUGGUACUAAAAGAAAGGUACUAAAGGAGUCAUUCACGCCAUAAUUCAUGCCAUAAUAGAAACAAUCUCACAGUCUGAUUCUUUGUCCCAGACUAAUAAAUUAACAAGAUAAAAUCCAAUGGACAGAGAACUACUUAUCUCCUCCUGGCCAGAGUCCAAAGAUGUAUCCUAAGUCAACCACACAGAAUAAAUGUAAGAAAUUUUUUUUCCCAUCCAGUCCACUUCCAGAGAUUUGGUUGGCCCACUUGAGAGGUGAUCCUGAUCAGUCUGACUGACUAAUUCAGCAGACUGAAAAGAACAAAUAAUGCCAGAGGUGUAGAGACAUGAUCCAGGUCAGCUUGUACCCCUUGAGAAAUGUUGAGACACCGUCUUACUGAAAAGAUUUUGACCUUGAUGAGAACUCUUACAUCUGAAUGUCUUGAUAACAACUCAUAACUUUUCAGUGAGGCAGAGGAGAUAGGAUUUCGCAGCUUGCUUUCUGUUUGUGAUGACAAAUACCUGAUUAUCACUCUGGACCAAAAGAACUACCUACACUAAUGCUGUGAGCCAGUUACUAGCUGCACCCUUAGCCUCGAGGUCAUUCCAUUUGUUCUUCAGAAUUUGUUACUGUUCUAAGCACUCUUGUGCUUCAGGCUGAAAUAUCCAUUUAAAGUCAAGACCAUUUAAGAAUUGCUGAUUCUGGACCUCCCUGUGUAUAGGAAUCUAAGUUAGGAAAAGGGCUGAGAAUGUGAACAAAAUUCUAUAUACAUGGCAGACAAUCAGCACUGAGUGAUAUAAAACACACAGGUGGCUGAGUCAGCAGUUUUUCUAAGUGGAGGCCAGGGACUGGCAGCAGCAUCAAAGCAGAAAAAAAAAAAGGUUUUCUUUCAGUCCAUUAUUUGAGAUACCACUUUUUAUAAUAGAUUCCAAAUGAUCAGUGCACUUGGGGCAUAAGGUUCAACUUGUAGGUAAUAUUGACAAGAUAAUACACAUCCAUACAAAGGCUAGUAAGGGACCACAAGUCUAGUGUGAUUUCACCAUGCUGCUUUCCUCUUAUCCAUAUACCUUUCAAUGGUCAAGGUUCAUGGAAAAGAAUUUUUUUUAAAUCCAGAUUUCUUUUUUCUCUUUUCUCCCCAUGAAACAUUCAUUAAUGGUCAUCAUUAGACUAUGUAUUCUUCAAUUAACGAAAGCCAAGCAGAUAUUAAAGAAAUGUACUUACAGUGUCUUUUUGAGAAGAGAUAAGUUUAAAAAAAAAAAAGUUGAUAGUUUGUGAAAUUGUUCUCCUGGACCAAGGCUUAUUGUCAUGAUGGGCCUCCCUAUGUUAUAUUUAGAAAUGUAAAUCCAAAUCCAUGGUGUCAGGGACCACGUUGUAGUGGGCUUCUGAGGUAUUCAAAGGCAUUGAUUAUUUAAAUAAGAUUGCAGGCUAAGAUUAGGGAUAGGGAGUGAGUGAUUCCUCAUUAGUAGUUUGAUACCUAUAAUAAAUUGUUUUCCCACUUCUUUGUAUCACUUUGGUCUUUCCCUAGUAGAUAAAAAGUGGGGUAACCCUAAUAGAAGGCAGAAGGGCCUUAGCAAAAGGUCCUACUCUUUCUUGGGCUCUGUGCUUCAUAUAGACCAGGCUCUCAUAGGAUGCCUCUAAGCAGUUUUCUUGAAAACCACUGGAAGAGAGGCUUUUAAGAAGUCUGUGAUCUUUGCUCAGUCAUCCAUGUAAGCCUCAUAGAAUAAACCAGAGCGAGGUUAGGAUUGUUACCAUUUUCAAGUGCAUAUUUCAUGACAUAAAGAACUAUUUUUUCU